AGUGAACGCUGGCGGCAGGCCUAACACAUGCAAGUCGAACGGCAGCACAGUAAGAGCUUGCUCUUACGGGUGGCGAGUGGCGGACGGGUGAGGAAUACAUCGGAAUCUACUUUUUCGUGGGGGAUAACGUAGGGAAACUUACGCUAAUACCGCAUACGACCUACGGGUGAAAGCAGGGGAUCUUCGGACCUUGCGCGAUUGAAUGAGCCGAUGUCGGAUUAGCUAGUUGGCGGGGUAAAGGCCCACCAAGGCGACGAUCCGUAGCUGGUCUGAGAGGAUGAUCAGCCACACUGGAACUGAGACACGGUCCAGACUCCUACGGGAGGCAGCAGUGGGGAAUAUUGGACAAUGGGCGCAAGCCUGAUCCAGCCAUACCGCGUGGGUGAAGAAGGCCUUCGGGUUGUAAAGCCCUUUUGUUGGGAAAGAAAAGCAGCAGGUUAAUACCCCGCUGUUCUGACGGUACCCGAAGAAUAAGCACCGGCUAACUUCGUG
rnacentral:rRNA from 1 species